UGGGGAAUAUUGCACAAUGGGCGAAAGCCUGAUGCAGCAACGCCGCGUGAGGGACGACGGCCUUCGGGUUGUAAACCUCUUUAGCAAGGAAGAAGCGAAAGUGACGGUACUUGCAGAAAAAGCGCCGGCUAACUACGUGCCAGCAGCCGCGGUAAUACGUAGGGCGCAAGCGUUAUCCGGAAUUAUUGGGCGUAAAGAGCUCGUAGGCGGUUUGUCGCGUCUGCUGUGAAAACCCGAGGCUCAACCUCGGGCCUGCAGUGGGUACGGGCAGACUAGAGUGCGGUAGGGGAGAUUGGAACUCCUGGUGUAGCGGUGGAAUGCGCAGAUAUCAGGAAGAACACCGAUGGCGAAGGCAGAUCUCUGGGCCGUAACUGACGCUGAGGAGCGAAAGGGUGGGGAGCAAACAGGCUUAGAUACCCUGGUAGUCCACCCGUAAACGUUGGGAACUAGUUGUGGGGUCCAUUCCACGGAUUCCGUGGACGCAGCUAACGCAUUAAGUUCCCCGCCUGGGGAGUACGGCCGCAAGGCUAAAACUGCAAAUGAAUUGACGGGGUCAUAGCUGUUUCCU
rnacentral:rRNA from 1 species